rnacentral:lncRNA from 1 species
GUGGAGGGGCUUAAGUGCAAAAUGACACUUAUGAGAGUGUAUAGAGAGGAUCCUUUCUCUCUUUCUCUCAUUUCUCUCACUCUCCCACACCAAAAUUGUUAAGGAUUUUGUAUUAGCAAGUUUCGUGAAGUGAGUCGGAGUCUUGAAGGAUCGAAGCGGAUUGACGAAGAUUGAAGAAUUUAAGAUUUCGAAGAUUUUGGAAAGUAGCUCACAAUAUGAAUCACGACGUAAAGGUAAAGUUUUAAUUCAUGUUAUGGUGAUUCAUACUUAGUUAUAGGCAUUAGAAUCAUAAACUUAAAGUUUAAUGGAUUAGAAAGUGCCUCGGAACUUUGCAGAACCCGAAACAGUGCAAAAUCCAAAAAAUUGCAUUGUGUACCGGUACAGCAAGUGCCCCGUACCGGUACAGCCAUCAACAUUGG